GAUGAACGCUGGCGGCGUGCCUAAUACAUGCAAGUCGAGCGAACGGACGAGAAGCUUGCUUCUCUGAUGUUAGCGGCGGACGGGUGAGUAACACGUGGAUAACCUACCUAUAAGACUGGGAUAACUUCGGGAAACCGGAGCUAAUACCGGAUAAUAUUUUGAACCGCAUGGUUCAAAAGUGAAAGACGGUCUUGCUGUCACUUAUAGAUGGAUCCGCGCUGCAUUAGCUAGUUGGUAAGGUAACGGCUUACCAAGGCAACGAUGCAUAGCCGACCUGAGAGGGAGAUCGGCCACACUGGAACUGAGGCACGGUCCAGACUCCUACGGGAGGCAGCAGUAGGGACUCUUCCGCAAUGGGCGAAAGCCUGACGGAGCAACGCCGCGUGAGUGAUGAUGGUCUUCGGAUCGUAAAACUCUGUUAUUAGGGAAGAACAUAUGUGUAAGUAACUGUGCACAUCUUGACGGUACCUAAUCAGAAAGCCACGGCUAACUACGUG
rnacentral:rRNA from 1 species